rnacentral:rRNA from 1 species
CCCUAUGGGGUGCUCACCGUGGCGGAUACCGGCAUCGGGAUGGCGCCGGAAACAAUCCGCCGCAUUUUCGACCCUUUUUUCACCACCAAGAAGAUGGGCAGGGGCACCGGGCUGGGGCUGGCGUCGGCCUACGGAAUCGUCAAGAGCCACAACGGCUACAUCGAAGUGGAGUCGGAAAAGGGGAAGGGCUCCACCUUUUCCGUCUUCCUGCCGGCGACGGACCAGCGCCCCUCCGAUGAUAGGGCCCCGCGCUGGAAGCCGGCGGCCGGAAGCGGCACGAUCCUGCUCGUAGAUGACGAGCAGACCGUGCUAGAGGUCACGGCCCAGAUGAUCGGGCGGCUCGGCUACACGGUGACGCGCGCGCGCACCGGGCGCGAAGCCAUCGAGCGCUUCCGGGAGAGCCCCGCGGGGUUCAGUCUAGUGAUCCUGGACAUGAUCAUGCCUGAAUUGGCGGGAGGGC